rnacentral:rRNA from 1 species
AUUGAACGCUGGCGGCAUGCUUUACACAUGCAAGUCGAACGGCAGCGCGGGCUUCGGCCUGGCGGCGAGUGGCGAACGGGUGAGUAAUGCAUCGGAACGUGCCCAGUAGUGGGGGAUAGCCCGGCGAAAGCCGGAUUAAUACCGCAUACGACCUGAGGGUGAAAGCGGGGGACCGAAAGGCCUCGCGCUAUUGGAGCGGCCGAUGUCGGAUUAGCUAGUUGGUGGGGUAAAGGCUUACCAAGGCGACGAUCCGUAGCUGGUCUGAGAGGACGACCAGCCACACUGGGACUGAGACACGGCCCAGACUCCUACGGGAGGCAGCAGUGGGGAAUUUUGGACAAUGGGGGCAACCCUGAUCCAGCCAUGCCGCGUGCGGGAAGAAGGCCUUCGGGUUGUAAACCGCUUUUGUUCGGGAAGAGAUCCUCUGGGCUAAUACCCCGGGGGGAUGACGGUACCGGAAGAAUAAGCACCGGCUAACUACGUG